rnacentral:rRNA from 1 species
AGCGAACGCUGGCGGCAUGCCUAACACAUGCAAGUCGCACGGGGGGGCUUCGGCCUCCCAGUGGCGGACGGGUGAGGAACGCGUAGGGACCUGUCGAGGGGUGGGGGAUAACCGCGGGAAACUGCGGCUAAUACCGCAUGACGCCGCGGCGUGACAGCCGGGGCCAAAGGCGAAAGCCGCCCGCCGAGGGGCCUGCGUCCGAUUAGCUGGUUGGCGGGGUAGCUGCCCACCAAGGCGUCGAUCGGUAGCUGGUCUGAGAGGGUGAUCAGCCACACCGGGACUGAGACACGGCCCGGACUCCUACGGGAGGCAGCAGUGGGGAAUAUUGGACAAUGGGCGCAAGCCUGAUCCAGCAAUGCCGCGUGGGUGAAGAAGGUCUGCGGAUUGUAAAGCCCUUUCGGCGGGGACGAUGGUGACGGUACCCGCAGAAGAAGCCCCGGCUAACUUCGUG